GAGCUUGUAGCACUAAUCAAUGUCAUGUCCAUAUUUCUUACAGUACUUGCAGACAAUAGUAGACCUAUGAGGCUCAAAAGAUCCUUAAAGGUAGCACCAGACCUUUGAGGUUCAAAAUUUAUUUUGGGAGAGGGAGGAGGACUGGAUACACCAGAAUUGAAAGAAGCAGAAUUGGAGGCAAAUUGAGUUCCAGCAGAAAUUUAUUUUUGCUUCUCAUCAGAUAGCAAAAUCUUAUACACUGAUACUAUGCAAACUUGACAUAUUUCUCA
rnacentral:lncRNA from 1 species